rnacentral:rRNA from 2 species
UCGAACGAACUCUGGUAUUGAUUGGUGCUUGCAUCAUGAUUUACAUUUGAGUGAGUGGCGAACUGGUGAGUAACACGUGGGAAACCUGCCCAGAAGCGGGGGAUAACACCUGGAAACAGAUGCUAAUACCGCAUAACAACUUGGACCGCAUGGUCCGAGCUUGAAAGAUGGCUUCGGCUAUCACUUCUGGAUGGUCCCGCGGCGUAUUAGCUAGAUGGUGAGGUAACGGCUCACCAUGGCAAUGAUACGUAGCCGACCUGAGAGGGUAAUCGGCCACAUUGGGACUGAGACACGGCCCAAACUCCUACGGGAGGCAGCAGUAGGGAAUCUUCCACAAUGGACGAAAGUCUGAUGGAGCAACGCCGCGUGAGUGAAGAAGGGUUUCGGCUCGUAAAACUCUGUUGUUAAAGAAGAACAUAUCUGAGAGUAACUGUUCAGGUAUUGACGGUAUUUAACCAGAAAGCCACGGCUAACUACGUGCCAGCAGCCGCGGUAAUACGUAGGUGGCAAGCGUUGUCCGGAUUUAUUGGGCGUAAAGCGAGCGCAGGCGGUUUUUUAAGUCUGAUGUGAAAGCCUUCGGCUCAACCGAAGAAGUGCAUCGGAAACUGGGAAACUUGA